GAUGAACGCUAGCUACAGGCUUAACACAUGCAAGUCGUGGGGCAUCAUGAUGUAGUAAUACAUUGAUGGCGACCGGCGCACGGGUGAGUAACGCGUAUCCAACCUACCCUCCACUCAAGUAUAGGCUUCCGAAAGGGAGAUUAAUCCUUGAUAUCGUCAUUCUCUCUCCUGUUAGAAUGAUAAAAGGACAUCGUUUCGGUAGAGGAUGGGGAUGCGUUCCAUUAGGUAGUAGGUGGUUUAACAGGCCACCUAGCCGAUGAUGGAUAGGGGUUCUGAGAGGAAUAUCCCCCACACUGGUACUGAGAUACGGACCAGACUCCUACGGGAGGCAGCAGUGAGGAAUAUUGGUCAAUGGGCGCAAGCCUGAACCAGCCAUGUAGCGUGAAGGAUGACGGUUUUUUUGAUUGUAAACUUCUUUUCUGUGCGAUUAAAGUGUGGCAUUUAUGCCAUAUUGCAGUUAUCUCAGGAAUAAGC
rnacentral:rRNA from 1 species